rnacentral:rRNA from 1 species
AGCAGCCGCGGUAAUUCCAGCUCCAAUAGCGUAUAUUAAAGUUGUUGCAGUUAAAAAGCUCGUAGUUGAAUUUCGGGGUCAGUAGGUCGGUCGUGCCACUGGUAUGAACUGGUUUUACUGAUUCCUCCCUCUUGAAGAACUGUAAUGCCAUUAAUUUGGUGUUGCAGGGAAUCAGGACUGUUACUUUGAAAAAUUAGAGUGUUUAAAGCAGGCUCUAGCUUGAAUACAUUAGCAUGGAAUAAUGAAAUAGGACGUUUGAUCCUAUUUUGUUGGUUUCUAGGAUUGACGUAAUGAUUAAUAGGGAUAGUUGGGGGCAUUAGUAUUCAAUUGUCAGAGGUGAAAUUCUUGGAUUUAUUGAAGACUAACUACUGCGAAAGCAUUUGCCAAGGAUGUUUUCAUUAAUCAAGAACGAAAGUUAGGGGAUCGAAGACGAUCAGAUACC